rnacentral:rRNA from 1 species
AACUAACGCUGGCGGCGCGUCUUAAACAUGCAAGUCGAACGGUAGUCCUUGAGCUUGCUUAGGGAUGAGAGUGGCGAACGGGUGAGUAACACGUGAAUAAUCUGCCUCCGGGUUGGGGAUAACGUUCCGAAAGGAGCGCUAAUACCGAAUAAGAUGGUAGCUACACAAGUAGUAGUCAUUAAAGGUGGGGACCGUAAGGCCUACCGCCUGGAGAUGAGUUCGCGGCUGAUUAGCUUGUUGGCGGGGUAAAAGCCCACCAAGGCGACGAUCAGUAGCCGGCCUGAGAGGGUGAACGGCCACAUUGGGACUGAGAUACGGCCCAGACUCCUACGGGAGGCAGCAGUUAAGAAUCUUGCGCAAUGGGAGCAAUCCUGACGCAGCGACGCCGCGUGAAUGAUGAAGGCCUUCGGGUUGUAAAGUUCGAUAAGCAGGGAAGAAUAAGCGCCGGGUAAUAUUCGGUGUGAUGACGGUACCUGCCUAAAGCCCCGGCUAACUACGUG